AGCUCUGUAAGCGUAUACCAAAGUUGUUGCAGUUAAAACGCUCGUAGUCGGAUUUUGGCGUAGCCCGUGCUGUAUGCGUGGAGCAUGUGGCGCUGGGGUACGCUUUUGUGGAGGGCGGUGCAUCGUGGCUUUGCUGUCGCGGCGUAUCGGCGCCACCGUUUACUGUGAAAAAAUUAGAGUGUUCAAAGCAGGCGUUUGCCGUGAAUACAUUAGCAUGGAAUAAUAGAAUAGGACUUGGUUUCUAUUUUGUUGGUUUGUGAGAGCCGAGUAAUGAUUAAGAGGGACGGUUGGGGGCAUUUGUAUUCCAGCGUCAGAGGUGAAAUUCUUGGAUUGCUGGAAGACAAACCGCUGCGAAAGCGUCUGCCAAGGACGUUUUCA
rnacentral:rRNA from 1 species